GCAUAAUCAAUAGUUUUUUAAUUGAAAGCUGGAAUGAAGGGUUUUUCUAAGGAGAAAGUUUUAUUUAAUUAGUUUGAAUUUAAAUUAAAAGUAAAAAUGCUUUUAUAAAAUUUUGGGACGAGAAGACCCUAGAAGCUUAUAGAAUUUUAUAAUUUUUAGUUGGGGUAACUUUUGAAGAGAGAAAUUUUUGAGAUUUUAAAGUUUGAUAGGGAAGUUACUCUAGGGAUAACAGCAUUAUUUAAUUAGCAAGUUCUUAUUAAUAAUUAAGUUUGUGACCUCGAUGUUGAAUUAAUU
rnacentral:rRNA from 1 species